CCAGAGAACUUAGCAGAGAUGCUUUGGUGCCUUCGGGAACUCUGAGACAGGUGCUGCAUGGCUGUCGUCAGCUCGUGUUGUGAAAUGUUGGGUUAAGUCCCGCAACGAGCGCAACCCUUAUCCUUUGUUGCCAGCGGUUCGGCCGGGAACUCAAAGGAGACUGCCGGUGAUAAACCGGAGGAAGGUGGGGAUGACGUCAAGUCAUCAUGGCCCUUACGGCCAGGGCUACACAUGUGCUACAAUGGCGCAUACAAAGAGAAGCGACCUCGCGAGAGCAAGCGGACCUCAUAAAGUGCGUCGUAGUCCGGAUUGGAGUCUGCAACUCGACUCCAUGAAGUCGGAAUCGCUAGUAAUCGUAGAUCAGAAUGCUACGGUGAAUACGUUCCCGGGCCUUGUACACACCGCCCGUCACACCAUGGGAGUGGGUUGCAAAAGAAGUAGGUAGCUUAACCUUCGGGAGGGCGCUUACCACUUUGUGAUUCAUGACUGGGGUGAAGUCGUAACAAGGUAGGCGUAGCGAG
rnacentral:rRNA from 1 species